rnacentral:rRNA from 1 species
AUUGAACGCUGGCGGCAUGCCUUACACAUGCAAGUCGAACGGUAACAGGUCUUUCGGGAUGCUGACGAGUGGCGAACGGGUGAGUAAUACAUCGGAACGUGCCUAGUAGUGGGGGAUAACUACUCGAAAGAGUGGCUAAUACCGCAUGAGAUCUAUGGAUGAAAGCAGGGGACCUUCGGGCCUUGUGCUACUAGAGCGGCCGAUGGCAGAUUAGGUAGUUGGUGGGAUAAAAGCUUACCAAGCCUACGAUCUGUAGCUGGUCUGAGAGGACGAUCAGCCACACUGGGACUGAGACACGGCCCAGACUCCUACGGGAGGCAGCAGUGGGGAAUUUUGGACAAUGGGCGCAAGCCUGAUCCAGCUAUGCCGCGUGCAGGAUGAAGGCCUUCGGGUUGUAAACUGCUUUUGUACGGAACGAAAAGUCUUGGGUUAAUACCCUGGGAUCAUGACGGUACCGUAAGAAUAAGCACCGGCUAACUACGUGCCAGCCGCCGCGGUAACAC